GAUGAACGCUGGCGGCGUGCUUAACACAUGCAAGUCGAACGGAAAGGCCCAAGCUUGCUUGGGUACUCGAGUGGCGAACGGGUGAGUAACACGUGGGUGAUCUGCCCUGCACUUCGGGAUAAGCCUGGGAAACUGGGUCUAAUACCGGAUAGGACCACAUGUUGGAUGGUGGGGUGGAAAGAUUUUCGGUGUGGGGUGAGCUCGCGGCCUUUCAGCUUGUUGGUGGGGUAAUGGGCUACCAAGGCGUCGACGGGUAGGCGGCCCGGGGGGGUGUACGGCCACCUUGGGGCUGGGGUACGGGCCCGGCUCCUACGGGGAGGCGGCGGGGGGAAUUUUGCAACAUGGGGGCGAGCCUGGUGCAAGGACGCCGGGUGGGGGGUGGCCGGCUUCCGGUUGGAAACCCGUUUCGCUAUGGACGGAGCGUUGUGUGACGGUACCUGGUGAAGAAGCACCGGCUAACUACGUG
rnacentral:rRNA from 1 species